CCUUUCCAGUUAGUUACUAUCUUUGAUUAAAUAUUCAUAUUUUGGAAUUUUACUUACUCGGCAAUGGCAUGGGGAGACUGGAGAGUAAGGAUUGGGGGUGACACUGCAUUGAGUGAUGCCAGAGAAAUUUAUGCAAAAAAAACUUACCAACUUCAUUGGAAAGCGACUCAAGUCAGAAAGGGCUGCUUCUAUUUGGACAAGCAUAUUGCAACGAACUAUUGAAAUGGCCAGAAAUUUAGAAAUAGUUUGUUAAGUGAUGUUGUAGAGACUUAUGGCUUGAAAUGGCUAAAAGAUUUAGGUCCUACAUAUUUUGGAAUAAGCGUAACAAAAGUAUGAUUUAACUUAGUAAGCACUCUCUACCUCUACUGAAUAUUUAUUUAUUUUAUUUUGUUGCACAUAAUUAAUUCCCUCCUUGUUGAUAAUCUUAAUCUCCCAUUCUGACAAAAAAGGACAGGGAAGCCAUUUAGACCUGGAACCCUGAGGGUUUGCAUGGACUUGAUGUUAUCGACCACCUUUUCUGCAAUAGAAAGUAGUCAGCUCAACAUUCUCAAUCUCAUCAUUGCACUGCUGAAAGAAACCUUCAAAUCCUCUAGCCAAGAAGGAUUGGAUGAGGUAAAUAGCUCUCUAAAAUUGGCUAAGAAGUAUUCCUCAAUCUCUUUGGAUCAUUUAUCCACUAGUUAUCCAAGUUUAUUGUAUCAAUGUUGUCGGACUUUCUUUGAAUAAUUGUGAAUAAAUGUAAUUUUUUUUGUAUUUCUGUCACCUUCUUGAAGCCAAAGUUCUCUAGAUUUUUGUGUUGAUUCUCAAUCAUAACUUCAUUCUCUGGAGUAGAAUCAUUAGCUUGGUAGAGUUCUAGAAGCCGGAGCAAUUCUUGUUUUUUAGAUUGACACCACCCAAAGCAACUUUGUUCCACUUCCUAUGAAUUUACACUUAACUAGUCCAACUUUCUCAUAAAUUGAAAAUAUAUUGAUCCAUUGACACUCACAUCCCACAAACUUCUAAUUACAUCAUCACUCCUUUCAUCUCUCAACCAAGUAGCCUGGUCUUGAUCUUCUCCCUAAUUUUAUAUUAGAAUUUAGUAUAAUUGGGUUGUGGUCAUUUUGUGGUUGACAAGAGCAUCAUCCUCCCUGGUAACACACUGCCUUAUAUAGCCUCUAUCUUAUGCUGGAAAUUUCUCCCUUUUAUUACACCAAGUAUGCCUAAUUCCAAUAAAACCCAAAUUUAUUCUUACAUGAACUCUUUGAGACCUCUUCUUGAGGAAGAGCCAGCCUUGCAUCCAAACUUUUUCUUCUCUUACAAGACAGUUGAAAUCCCCACAGCAAACUCAAGGGCCUUAAAUGCAUUCACUGAGCUUGAAAUGAUCUUCCAGAAUCUCUAUUUCUUGGCAAAAUAGGAAGCCCAUAGCUGCGUACAAACAACCAAUCCCUACAACCUGAUUAAGAGAUUACACCACUUACUUGCUAGGCAGAUGCAUCCACAACUUUUAAAUCAACUUCCUUUUUCCAUAAAAAGCUAGACCACCUUCUCCACACCAGCUCUACCACUGGUACACAAUGAGAAUCCACAUAACCUAAGGUCAUCGAUUUUAUUAAUCUUAUCCUUUUCCACCAUAGUCUCAAAUAAGAAAAUAAUUUAUGGGUCAUGGUCCCUCAUGAAGACUCUAACCAUCACCAUCUAGGCAUUACCAAUUCUUUAACAAUUCCACAUGAAUGCUUGCAUUGCACAUACUCUAAAACACUAAGAAAAAACUAGGAGGAAAAUAAAGAGUCACCAGCUGACUCUGAUCAAUCAAAUCCCCACUAAGAAUGAAAUCUUGUAGCUAUCAUACCUUAGUUUAGAUUGAAACAAAAGCAUGACCUGGUAAGGUAGUUGGGCAGUGAUCAAGCAAUGCCAGGUGGAGAAUGACAAUAGAAACAUACUAAUGACCAGUUCUAGGAGAACAAGCUUGAGUCGCAUCUAGACACAUGAGGCAGAGGAGGAAUCCAAAUAACUGGGUGGGGAUCAAAGCAUUUUGCAGAGUGGAGCUUGUGAUCAGCUUGGGAAAAGCUCAGUGCACUAUAGCAGGAGGAAGUUAUCAUGUGUCUUUAAGGGAAUGACAUGGGAAAGCUGCCCCCUUUCGUUAGUUGCUUUGGUUUACAACUUUAAGUUUCCUUGAAGGC